rnacentral:misc_RNA from 1 species
UCUCAAAAGCACAGGCAAAAUUCAUGGUAGUAACUAAAUUCAGAGGAUUUUGCAACUCUACUUCCAAGCAAAUAUUAUCACAUAGCCCAGCAGUGAAAAUGUCAACUUGUUGAUCAGUCCAAACAAAAGUUAUGCUAACAAUGACUAAAAUUGCCGUUGAUAUUCUUCCACCGACCCAUUUGCUUCAAGUUCACCAAUUCUCCCAAAG